rnacentral:rRNA from 1 species
UCGGUCUUCGUAUGCGAGCGUUACGGGUGAUUAAACCCGUAAUGGUGAACGUAGGAGAGAGCUUCGGCGAUCAUCACCGAAGCUGAUCCUGAUAUUGCUCGGAUCGAUCCUGAGUAAUGUGCAUAUGGGGGCCGG